rnacentral:rRNA from 1 species
UAGUCCACGCCGUAAACGAUGGACACUAGCUGUUGGGAUUAAUCUCAGCGGCUAAGCGAAAGUGAUAAGUGUCCCACCUGGGGAGUACGAUCGCAAGAUUGAAACUCAAAGGAAUUGACGGGGGCCCGCACAAGCGGUGGAGCAUGUGGUUUAAUUCGAUGAUACGCGAGGAACCUUACCAGGGCUUAAAUGUAGUAUGACAGGACUAGAGAUAGUUUUUUCUUCGGACAUAUUACAAGGUGCUGCAUGGUUGUCGUCAGCUCGUGCCGUGAGGUGUCAGGUUAAGUCCUAUAACGAGCGCAACCCCUGCCGUUAGUUGCCAGCAUUUAAAGAUGGGGACUCUAGCGGGACUGCCGGUGCAAACCGAGAGGAAGGUGGGGAUGACGUCAAAUCAUCACGGCCCUUACGUCCUGGGCUACACACGUGCUACGAUGGUAGGGACAGAGGGUAGCGAAUCAGUGAUGUGGAGCUAAUCUCAAAAACCCUAUCCCAGUUCGGAUUGGAGU